CAACACCACUAUCACCUCCAAUUUCACCAGCACUACCACCUAGAACACCACCACCAUCACCACCACCACCACCUUUAUCACCUCCAAUUUCACCAGCACUGCCACCUACACCACCACCACCACCACCUUUAUCACCUCCAAUUUCACCAGCACUGCCACCUAGAACACCACCACCACCAAAAACACCUCCUCCACCAAUUACACCAGCACCAUUAUCACCUCCAAUUUCACCAGCACUACCACCUAGAACACCACCACCACCACCGCCACCUUUAUCACCUCCAAUUUCACCAGCACUGCCACCUAGAACACCACCACCACCACCACCUUUAUCACCUCCAAUUUCACCAGCACUACCACCUAGAACACCACCACCACCAUCACCACCACCUUUAUCACCUCCAAUUUCACCAGCACUGCCACCUAGAACACCACCACCACCACCUUUAUCACCUCCAAUUUCACCAGCACUGCCACCUAAAACACCACCACCACCAAAAACACCUCCUCCACCAAUUACACCAGCACCAUUAUCACCUCCAAUUUCACCAGCACUACCACCUAGAACACCACCACCACCACCACCUUUAUCACCUCUUAUUUCACCAGCACUACC
rnacentral:lncRNA from 1 species